GAUGAACGCUGGCGGCGUGCCUAAUACAUGCAAGUCGAGCGAACGGACGAGAAGCUUGCUUCUCUGAUGUUAGCGGCGGACGGGUGAGUAACACGUGGAUAACCUACCUAUAAGACUGGGAUAACUUCGGGAAACCGGAGCUAAUACCGGAUAAUAUUUUGAACCGCAUGGUUCAACAGUGAAAGACGGUCUUGCUGUCACUUAUAGAUGGAUCCGCGCUGCAUUAGCUAGUUGGUAAGGUAACGGCUUACCAAGGCAACGAUGCAUAGCCGACAUGAAAGGGUGAUCGGCCACACUGGAACCGAGACACGGUCCACACUCCUACGGGAGGCAGCAGUAGGGAAUCUUCCGCAAUGGGCGAAAGCCUGACGGAGCAACGCCGCGUGAGUGAUGAAGGUCUUAGGAUCGUAAAACUCUGUUAUUAGGGAAGAACAUAUGUGUAAGUAACUGUGCACAUCUUGACGGUACCUAAUCAGAGAGCCACGGCUAACUACGUG
rnacentral:rRNA from 1 species